rnacentral:rRNA from 1 species
CCUACGGGUGGCAGCAGUGAGGAAUAUUGGUCAAUGGGCGCGAGCCUGAACCAGCCAAGUCGCGUGAAGGAUGACGGCCCUAUGGGUUGUAAACUUCUUUUAUAAGGGAGUAAAGUGAGGUACGUGUCCCUGUAUGUAUGUACUUUAUGAAUAAAGAUCGGCUAACUCCGUGCCAGCAGCCGCGGUAAUACGGAGGAUCCGAGCGUUAUCCGGAUUUAUUGGGUUUAAAGGGAGCGUAGAUGGGUUUUUAAGUCAGUUGUGAAAGUUUGGGGCUCAACCAUAGAAUUGCAGUUGAUACUGGCAGCCUUGAGUACAGUUGAGGUAGGCGGAAUUCGUGGUGUAGCGGUGAAAUGCUUAGAGAUCACGAAGAACACCGAUUGCGAAGGCAGCCUACUAAGCUGCCACUGACGUUGAUGCUCGAAAGCGUGGGUAUCAAACAGGAUUAGAUACCCCUGUAGUC